rnacentral:tRNA from 1 species
GCGGUGGUAGUUCAGCGGUAGAAUGUCUCCUUCCCAAGGAGAAGGUCGGGAGUUCGAAUCUCCUCCACCGCU